UAAGGAUAACUUCGGAAAAGCUGUAGCUAAUACUUGCUUUAUUAUCCUUUGAUUUUUAUCUUUGGAUAAGUAUUUGUUAGGCCUUAUAAGAAAAAAGUUAUUAACUUAAGGAAUUAUAACAAAGAAGUAACACGUAAUAAAUUUAUUUUAUUUAGUGUGUAUCAAUCGAGUUUCUGACCUAUCAGCUUUUGAUGUUAGGGUAUUGGCCUAACAUGGCUAUGACGGGUAAA
rnacentral:rRNA from 1 species